GGCCAUUCUGUGAUUCUAUGAUUGAUUCUAUGAUCUUUUCCUGUGUUUGUUUUUUCUUUUAUGGAAAGAUACCAUUUGGAUGGAGGAUACCCUGAAAAAAAUACAAAAAAGGGACAACAUGCAAAGAUAAUUUGAAAAGAUAUGAAGAAGAGACCUUAAUGCUAACAUUAUAACUCUCCCAGUAAGAGCUGGGGACACUGGUGACUCAUUUUGGCACCCCCAGAUUCUCAUCCUGCCACCCAGAGUGUCUUGGGGAGGGUAGACAUAACAUCAGAGGAAAAGUUACCGAAAGGAACUGUAUGCAAAUGAGGACUUGAAACUACAAUCCAUGACUCAGGAAGGGCUGUCUUUGCCAUUUUACCUUUGUGUAUUUCUGCACAAAGUUAGUAUCAGUAUUUCUCUAGUAGACUUUUGGAUUAGGAAUUUGAAAAGGAUUCUCCAUCAUCAAAGAGUGGUCCUGGAUGCACACCAUUCAUAAAAUCAGCAGUUUAAAGGCCUGCAUGCCACAAACCUUGAUGGUGGAAAGAAUGUGUCUGAGGUGGGAGGAAAAGACAUCCUGUGGUCCCUAC